CUUAAAGCUGUUCUCAGUUCGGACUGCAGUCUGCAACUCGACUGCACGAAGCUGGAAUCGCUAGUAAUCGCGGAUCAGCACGCCGCGGUGAAUACGUUCCCGGGCCUUGUACACACCGCCCGUCACACCAUGGAAGUCUGCAAUGCCCGAAGCCGGUGGCCUAACCACUUAUGUGGAAGGAGCCGUCUAAGGCAGGGCAGAUGACUGGGGUGAAGUCGUAACAAGGUAAC
rnacentral:rRNA from 1 species